rnacentral:rRNA from 1 species
CGACCGGGUGAGUAACACGUGAUUAACCUACCUUCGAUGGGGAAUAACUUCGGGAAACCGAAGCUAAUACCGCAUAACAUCCCAAGGACGAGAAGCCCAGGGAUCAAAGGAGCAAUUCGCUUGAAGAGGGGGUCGCGGCUGAUUAGCUAGUUGGCGGGGUAAUGGCCCACCAAGGCGAUGAUCAGUAGCCGGCCUGAGAGGGCGCACGGCCACACUGGAACUGAAACACGGCCCAG